ACGCUCGACACCUACGGGUGGCAGCAGUGAGGAAUAUUGGUCAAUGGGCGCUAGCCUGAACCAGCCAAGUAGCGUGAAGGAUGAAGGCUCUAUGGGUCGUAAACUUCUUUUAUAUAAGAAUAAAGUGCAGUAUGUAUACUGUUUUGUAUGUAUUAUAUGAAUAAGGAUCGGCUAACUCCGUGCCAGCAGCCGCGGUAAUCUGAGCGGGCUGGCAAGGC
rnacentral:rRNA from 1 species